rnacentral:rRNA from 1 species
GACGAACGCUGGCGGCGUGCUUAACACAUGCAAGUCGAACGGUGAAGGGAUCAGCUUGCUGGUUCUGGAUGAGUGGCGAACGGGUGAGUAACACGUGAGUAACCUGCCCCCUUCUUCUGGAUAACCGCAUGAAAGUGUGGCUAAUACGGGAUAUUCUGCGCCUGCUGCAUGGUGGGUGUGGGAAAGAUAUUGUUUCGGUGGGGGAUGGGCUCGCGGCCUAUCAGCUUGUUGGUGGGGUGAUGGCCUACCAAGGCGGUGACGGGUAGCCGGCCUGAGAGGGUGGACGGUCACACUGGGACUGAGACACGGCCCAGACUCCUACGGGAGGCAGCAGUGGGGAAUAUUGCACAAUGGGCGCAAGCCUGAUGCAGCGACGCCGCGUGAGGGAUGGAGGCCUUCGGGUUGUGAACCUCUUUCGCCAGCGAAGCAGGCCUGUCCCGUGUGGGUGGGUUGACGGUAGCUGGAUAAGAAGCGCCGGCUAACUACGUG